UACAGAGGGUGCGAGCGUUUAAUCGGAAUUACUGGGCGUAAAGCGUGCGCAGGCGGUUCGUUGUGUCGGCGGUGAAAGCCCCGGGCUUAACCUGGGAAUGGCCGUUGAAACUGGCGAACUGGAGUGUGGCAGAGGGGGGUGGAAUUCCGCGUGUAGCAGUGAAAUGCGUAGAGAUGCGGAGGAACACCGAUGGCGAAGGCAGCCCCCUGGGCUAACACUGACGCUCAGGCACGAAAGCGUGGGGAGCAAACAGG
rnacentral:rRNA from 1 species